rnacentral:rRNA from 1 species
UGGGGAAUUUUGGACAAUGGGGGCAACCCUGAUCCAGCCAUCCCGCGUGUGCGAUGAAGGCCUUCGGGUUGUAAAGCACUUUUGGCAGGGAAGAAACAGCCUGGGAUAAUACCCCGGGCGACUGACGGUACCUGCAGAAUAAGCACCGGCUAACUACGUGCCAGCAGCCGCGGUAAUACGUAGGGUGCAAGCGUUAAUCGGAAUUACUGGGCGUAAAGCGUGCGCAGGCGGUUCGGAAAGAAAGGUGUGAAAUCCCAGGGCUUAACCUUGGAACUGCACUUUUAACUACCGAGCUAGAGUACGUCAGAGGGGGGUAGAAUUCCACGUGUAGCAGUGAAAUGCGUAGAGAUGUGGAGGAAUACCGAUGGCGAAGGCAGCCCCCU